AUAGGGUUAGCUUACAAUAAUGUCAGCGUUUGCCGAAACCAGUGUUUGCGGAGUUCUAAUGGAUUAAAAAUGAGGUACACCUCUGCUAAAUAGAUAUGAUAGUCUUCAUCAAAACCCAGUGUCCCAGUGUGCUGCUUUGUUGAGGAGUUGUGGAGUUUCAACGGGGCGUUUUCAAACGAACCACAAGAAGGCUGGCUCCACCCGUGUGUCAGGGUGGCCCGGUAACCAAAACGAGCUCUACUGCUGAACGCUGUGUACUCUGCAUCCUCUGUUGUUUUUCCAGAGCAGCUGUGGAGCUCGGGUUGAGUCGGUGUUGGAGAGCGCUGCAAUGCAUCUAACCUUCAUUUGACUGGAGGAUUUGCUGCCUGCCAACUGCCUCAUGAAAGGAGACACAGCGGCUGUCUGGGUGGAACAGUUUGACUGAAGGCUGCAGAGAUAUAGACCCACAACAUCUUUUGACCCCCUCCAGAAUGAACUUACCAAGACAUGAAAUAAAAUAAUCUAAUUCUAAA